AUUGAACGCUGGCGGCAUGCUUUACACAUGCAAGUCGAACGGUAACAGGCCGCAAGGUGCUGACGAGUGGCGAACGGGUGAGUAAUGCAUCGGAACGUGCCCAGUCGUGGGGGAUAACUACUCGAAAGAGUAGCUAAUACCGCAUACGAUCUAUGGAUGAAAGCGGGGGACCGAAAGGCUCCGCGCGAUUGGGGCGGCCGAUGUCAGAUUAGGUAGUUGGUGGGGUAAAGGCUCACCAAGCCAACGAUCUGUAGCUGGUCUGAGAGGACAACCAGCCACACUGGGACUGAGACACGGCCCAGACUCCUACGGGAGGCAGCAGUGGGGAAUUUUGGACAAUGGGCGCAAGCCUGAUCCAGCAAUGCCGCGUGCAGGAAGAAGGCCUUCGGGUUGUAAACUGCUUUUGUACGGAACGAAACGGCUCUGGUUAAUACCCGGGGCUAAUGACGGUACCGUAAGAAUAAGCACCGGCUAACUACGUG
rnacentral:rRNA from 1 species